GAGGGAAGGAGAAGAAGGAAAAAAAAACCUAGGUGCAGGGCUGUUCUUCACGAAAUUAUUCAAGGUGUCAAGCCGGUCAAUUGGGAGGUGCCAAAACCAUAAGUUUAGCGUAUCUCGGUCGAUACAAAGGUGACAGGUUGCUUAGAGUGGGUCCACUACCGGUCGUCGUGUUGAGGUGUUGAGGU